UCCUGAAGGGACUGCUCCGCAUGCGCUCCCGUCACUCACUGAAUCUGAGCCCAGGCGCAGAUGUCUGCCGUCCAACUGAAUUCCCAUAUCAAACAUGUCUGCCUGCAACACAAUCUCCAACGAGUCCGGGUGGCAGUUGACCGCGACAGGUUGAGACGCAGGCCGAGGCCGCACGCUGAGCUCGGCGCUUCUCUGCUGCGUGACCGCGGUGAGUUGAGGCGGGACGUCACCAUGAGUCCUGCCUUCGCUGGAGCCUCUGCUGGACACUAACCGGCUUUCUGUGAGUUUGGAAACUGAGAUGAGAACGACAAUCCGCCAAAAAGAGGUUACUUGGAGGUUGCGGUCCAUUCUUGGCCUCCUCGAAAAGGUUAGGGAAGGAGCCCUCUGAAAAUAUCACCGCAGCUAGUUCAUGUAUGCAAGGACUCUGUUGAUUGUGACGGUGCGGACCUGGAAGCCCUUCAACACUUUGCAGAGGCUCAGUCUUUCAUCGUAGGUGCUUGGACGGUCUACAGCAACCUUAAAGAAACAGAGAGGAGUAGAAAUGGAGAAGUUGACAGCUAUUGCAGACAGAGAGACAGGGCCGAGAGAGAUGAGAGAAGAGAAAGAUUCACCUGGUGAGGUCCUCUAUGUCCACCAGCAUGGCGUCCUGCUCCACAUGUAGCUCAUCCCUCAGCAGCAGCAACUGUACCAGCUCCUCAU